AUGGAGGAAAAGAUGGAAUUAGAAAUCCAAAGAGUAGUUCAAAAGUUGUCUCCAGAAAUUGAUGAAUUCAAAGACAGAAUUACCAGGGAUACAGACAUAAUGAGAAGAGAUGGAGCAGAGCUCAAGGAAAUGAAAAAGUCAUUUGAAGAGCUUCAAAAUACAGAGGUGCGGCAGCCUCCGCUGACCCCGGGGGCAGGCAGGCAGGAGCAUCUGGGCCUGGCAUGCUGUCUGAACUGGAGGUGGGCAGCAGAGGGCAAGGGUGGGCAAAAGGGACUGGCUCCUGGCCAUAUAGAACUCAACAAAAAUCCAGUGGAAGGCUUUUCAGCAGGUUUAAUAGAUGAUAAAUGACCUCUACCAAUGGGAAGUCCUUAUUAUUGGUCCUCCAGAUACACUUUAUGAAGGUGGUAUUGCUAAGGCUCAUCUCACUUUCCCAAAAGAUUAUUCCCUCUGGCCUCCUAAAAUGAAAUUCAUUACAGAAAUCUGGCACCCAAAUGUUGAUAAGAAUGGUGAUGUGUGCAUUUCUAUUCUUCAUGAGCCUGGGGAAGAUAAAUCUGGAUAUGAAAAGCCAGAGGAACGCAGGCUCCCUAUCCAUACCGUGGAAACCAUCAUGAUUAGUGUCAUUUCUAUGCUGGCAGACCCUAAUGGAGAUUCACCUGUUAAUGUCGAUGCUGCAAAAGAAUGGAGGGAAGACAGAAAUGGAGAAUUUAAAAGAAAAGUUGCCCGCUGUGUAAGAAAAAGCCAAGAGAUAGCUUUUGAGUGACAUUUAUUUAGCAGCUAGAAACUUCACUUAUUUCAGGGUCUCCAACUGAGAAACAUGGCACUGUUUUCCUGCACUCUAACCACCUAUUGCUGGACUUCUGUUGUAACAAGUUGGCAGACACUGGCUGGAACUGGGCUGCAAUAAAACAUGCCAGUUAUCAAUGCUGACAAGAGCCUAACAAGUGCCAACUUACAGAUGAUUACACAUUUUGAAUUCUAAUGAACUAUUUUAACCUUCAGGAAGACUUGUAAAGACCUGUACAUAACACAACAUGAUCAGGAUAAUAUAUAUACUGUUCAUGUACAUCCACAAAUAUACCUAGUACCAAAUAAUGCUUUCUUGUAGUAGAAUAAGAAUCAUGUAAAUUCUAAAAGAUUUUAGCAGGUUUUCUUUCUUAUUCAUUGUUUCUUAUCAGUUUUAAAAGACUCCUUAAAGCAUGUGAGAUGAAAAGCAAUUAGGAUUAAAAGUUUCCACUUAAUUUCCUUAAACUAUUGAGGCUUCAUUAAACUCUUUUCACUUACUAAACUUUUGUAUCUUCUUUGUUUUGACAUACUCCCCUUUGCUUUUAUCUCUUAUAGCUGCCAGAAAGUUCUAUAAUCAUUUAAAAUACUGAAAUACUUAAUAAGCAAUUACUUGAUUUUUAUCGAUGACUUCAAAGGAGUAGUCAUCACUAGGUGCUUUGUCCUUUUUGUAUUCUAGUUGCACCCAUCUUGUGGAUUGGAUGUAGCAAUAACAUUUUUUGGCCAUUGAGAGCUCUUGAAUCCAGUAAUUUCCCCCAAGGACUAAUAGAGUUGGUACUUAAUUCAACUUUCUGAAAAUUUUCCCAAACAGUAUCAAACUCUGAUGUGGUUUUAUUUCUGUCCUUCAGUUGCCUAAAAUGUUAAGGUUGGAUAAAGCAUGCACAGCUCAGCUACAGGCUUUCUACCUAAUUCCUGGAUUUGCUACUAAAAAUGCUAUUUGCCCUCAUACCCUUCUCCUUAGUCCUUUAUAUUUCUUUGCCUCUAUUCUUCUAUGCCUGCAGAUUUUUCUCACCUAUUGUACAAAGAAAUUACAAUGUAUAUUUUCAUGUAAUUUGAUUUUGGAAUUCUGUCACCUUAUGUAGUGAGUUCUUCCAAAAUAUAAUUUUUUU